GUGCCCGACUUUCCUCCCGCUGCGCGCGGGGCACGCUGGGACUUGUAGUUCUUUGAGCGCGCCAAGCGGGCCAGUUAAGCUGAGAGAGUUGCUGAGAAGUUGGGUUGUGGAGAGCAAAAGAGAAAAGAGUGCCAUGGGGAUAAUUGAAAAGAAAAAGAAGCAAUGAAGAAGGAAGGAGUUAAGUGGAGCCGCAGCAUCGUGCAGCAGCUUGUUGGUCCCAUGAGAGUGGUCUCCCCAUUUACAGGUAUCAUCUCCAGAUUCAAUA